rnacentral:misc_RNA from 1 species
AAAGUCGUAACAAGGUUUCCGUAGGUGAACCUGCGGAAGGAUCAUUACCGUGAAGCGGCCGGGCUCGCCCGUGCCCGCUCCCCAAAACCGUGUCUACCAGCCAGUUGCUUCGACGGGCGUCGGGCCCCCCCACCCGGGGACCCGCCGACGCCGGCCCGUCAGGAGACCCCCACAACCCGCGUCACCCGCAGUCCGAGAUUGGAGAAACGAACAAAACUUUCAACAACGGAUCUCUUGGUUCCG